rnacentral:rRNA from 1 species
CCCAGAGUCCUACGGGAGGCUGCAGUAGGGAAUCUUCCGCAAUGGACGAAAGUCUGACGGAGCAACGCCGCGUGAACGAAGAAGGCCUUCGGGUCGUAAAGUUCUGUUGUUAGGGAAGAACAAGUACCAGAGUAACUGCUGGUACCUUGACGGUACCUAACCAGAAAGCCACGGCUAACUACGUGCCAGCAGCCGCGGUAAUACGUAGGUGGCAAGCGUUGUCCGGAAUUAUUGGGCGUAAAGCGCGCGCAGGUGGUUCCUUAAGUCUGAUGUGAAAGCCCACGGCUCAACCGUGGAGGGUCAUUGGAAACUGGGGAACUUGAGUGCAGAAGAGGAAAGUGGAAUUCCAAGUGUAGCGGUGAAAUGCGUAGAGAUUUGGAGGAACACCAGUGGCGAAGGCGACUUUCUGGUCUGUAACUGACACUGAGGCGCGAAAGCGUGGGGAGCAAACAGG